rnacentral:rRNA from 1 species
UCAGCCUACGGGACGCAGCAGUGGGGAAUAUUGGGCAAUGGGCGCAAGCCUGACCCAGCAAUGCCGCGUGAAGGAAGAAGGCCCUCGGGUUGUAAACUUCUUUUAUCAGGGACGAAGGAUGUGACGGUACCUGAUGAAUAAGCUCCGGCUAACUACGUGCCAGCAGCCGCGGUAAUACGUAGGGAGCAAGCGUUAUCCGGCUUUACUGGGUGUAAAGGGCGCGUAGGCGGGAUGGCAAGUCAGAUGUGAAAUCCGGGGGCUCAACCCCUGAACUGGAUUUGAAA